CCCCGUAUGGGGGUAUGGGCCUGCGGGUGUCCGGCCGGGGGCCUGCUGCAGGUUAAGGAUGCUGUCGAUGGCACUCUGCAAAUGCUCAGCCUGGGCCACAGUCUGACUCCUUGAAACUGUCAUCUUCAAGUCAUGACCUCAACAGGCACCAUGUAACCAGUGAAUGCCAGCUGGGCACCCAAGACUGGGCCAGCAUCUGGACAGUGACCCACAGCAUGGACCAGGCCACCAGCCCUGGCUAAUGGGAUGUCUCACAGCAUGGCCUGCUCUCACCUACUUCACCGCUUCGGUUGUCCUGGAACUUACUCUACAGACCAGAAUGGCCUUGAACUCAGAAGUCCACCUGCCUCUGCCCCCUGAGUGCUGGAGUUAAAGGUGUACACCAUCACUGCCUGGCUUAAUUUCCCCCCAAAGAAUAAAGGGACAUCUGGAGAGAUGUCUCGGCAGCUGCGAGUGCUUGCUACUCCUCCACGGGACUCAAGCUCGGUUCAGAACCCAAACCCGGCAGUUCACAACUUGUGCUGGGAUUCAAGGCUUGAGCCAUGACUGCAAAGUCUCAUGUCCUGCAGGCUAAACUGGAACUCACUCUGAAGUCCAGGAUGACCUUGAACCCCGAGUCUUCCUGCCUUUGACUCCCAAGGGGACAGGCAGGCUUGCAGGUAUGCACCACUAAAUCAGGUAUGCCUGG
rnacentral:lncRNA from 1 species